rnacentral:rRNA from 1 species
GAUGAACGCUGGCGGCGUGCCUAAUACAUGCAAGUCGAGCGAACGGACGAGAAGCUUGCUUCUCUGAUGUUAGCGGCGGACGGGUGAGUAACACGUGGAUAACCUACCUAUAAGACUGGGAUAACUUCGGGAAACCGGAGCUAAUACCGGAUAAUAUUUUGAACCGCAUGGUUCAAAAGUAAAAGACGGUCUUGCUGUCACUUAUAGCUGGAUCCGCGCUGCAUUAGCUAGUUGGUAAGGUAACGGCUUACCAAGGCAACGAUGCAUAGCCGACCUGAGAGGGUGAUAGGCCACACUGGAACUGAGACACGGUCCAGACUCCUACGGGAGGCAGCAGUAGGGAAUCUUCCGCAAUGGGCGAAAGCCUGACGGAGCAACGCCGCGUGAGUGAUGAAGGUCUUCGGAGCGUAAAACUCUGUUAUUAGGGAAGAACAUAUGUGUAAGUAACUGUGCACAUCUUGACGGUACCUAAUCAGAAAGCCACGGCUAACUACGUG